GGUUAAGUGAAUAAGGGCGCACGGUGGAUGCCUUGGCACUAGGAGCCGAUGAAGGACGGGACUAACACCGAUAUGCUUUGGGGAGCUGUAAGUAAGCUAUGAUCCAGAGAUUUCCGAAUGGGGGAACCCAAUAUCUUUUAUAGGAUAUUACUUUUCAGUGAAUACAUAGCUGAUUAGAGGUAGACGCAGAGAACUGAAACAUCUUAGUACCUGCAGGAAGAGAAAGAAAAUUCGAUUCCCUGAGUAGCGGCGAGCGAAACGGGAAGAGCCCAAACCAACAAGCUUGCUUGU
rnacentral:rRNA from 1 species